rnacentral:rRNA from 1 species
AUUGAACGCUGGCGGCAUGCCUUACACAUGCAAGUCGAACGGUAACAGGUCUUCGGAUGCUGACGAGUGGCGAACGGGUGAGUAAUACAUCGGAACGUGCCUAGUAGUGGGGGAUAACUACUCGAAAGAGUGGCUAAUACCGCAUGAGAUCUACGGAUGAAAGCAGGGGAUCGCAAGAACCUGUGCUACUAGAGCGGCCGAUGGCAGAUUAGGGAGUUGGUGGGAUAAAAGCUUACCAAGCCGACGAUCUGUAGCUGGUCUGAGAGGACGAUCAGCCACACUGGGACUGAGACACGGCCCAGACUCCUACGGGAGGCAGCAGUGGGGAAUUUUGGACAAUGGGCGCGAGCCUGAUCCAGCAAUGCCGCGUGCAGGAUGAAGGCCUUCGGGUUGUAAACUGCUUUUGUACGGAACGAAAAGCCCCGGGUUAAUACCCUGGGGUCAUGACGGUACCGUAAGAAUAAGCACCGGCUAACUACGUGCCAGCAGCCGCGGUAA